rnacentral:rRNA from 1 species
AGCUUGCUAAUGAAAUUCUUAGUGGCGGACGGGUUAGUAACACGUGAGAAUCCUACCCUUGAGUGGGGAAUAGCCUUUCGAAAGGAAGAUUAAUGCCCCAUAGUCUCUACGGAGUAAAGAUGCCUUCGGGUGUCGCUUAAGGAUGGGCUCGCGGCCUAUCAGCUAGUUGGUGAGGUAAGAGCUCACCAAGGCAACGACGGGUAGCUGGUCUGAGAGGACGAUCAGCAACACUGGAACUGAGACACGGUCCAGACACCUACGGGUGGCAGCAGUCGAGAAUCAUUCACAAUGGACGAAAGUCUGAUGGUGCAACGCCGCGUGGAGGAUGACGGCCCUAGGGUUGUAAACUCCUGUCAUCAGGGAGUAAGACUUAUUCGUUAAUAGCGUGUAAGUUUGAUAGUACCUGAAGAGGAAGGGACGGCUAACUUCGUGCCAGCAGCCGCGGUAAUACGAAGGUCCCAAGCGUUGUUCGGAAUAACUGGGCGUAA